ACAAAAACAAUGAAGGGGAGAAGUAAGCAACUUUAUAGAUGGCAGAGAGCCGGGGCAAGGUGCGACCCGGUAUCGAUGGUUGCUGAAAUACACCCCGGAGCAGCAAACCGAAAGCAGCCGCUUGACAGCAGUUGAUGAGCGUUUGGUGAGUAGGCUUUGACGGAGCACUCCUACCGUUAAACAGGAGAGGGUAUAAUGCCGGUGCAAACACCAGCCCGUACCCGGAACAGAGGAGGGGCCUGAUAGGCCCAACCAGGGUGGUACCGCGUGAAGAUAAAGCUUCCGUCCCUAUG
rnacentral:ncRNA from 1 species